GGGGCGUGGCCAGGUUGGCCUCCGCGUCUUGAGAACCGCGGAGCGGGGUUCGAUUCCCCCACGCUCCACCA
rnacentral:tRNA from 1 species